UAUAUAAAAAAAUAAUCUUACAGUAUUGGAAGGAUACAGAGGCCCCAUCGUUACAACAAUGGAAGGGACUAAUGAAAUACUAUUUAAGUAUAGAAAAAUCAAUGUUUGAAGACAGGAACAAAAGGCAACAAUUCAACAAGGUGUGGCAGGACAUAUAUGAAGCGUUGUAAAUUUAAUGGCUAAGAAAUAAGAACUAAGUAUGGUGACCGAGAGCUGGAAACCAAGUAAGUGUGUGUGUGUGUGUGUGUGUGUGUGUA